ensembl:lncRNA
CUAUUCAAAAUAAUGAAUAAAUAUAUAUAUAUAUAUAUAUAUUUAUGUAUAUAUUAACAAUGCACGUUUAAUACCUAUAUAAUAUAUUUCACUUUGUAGGGUAUAUCCACAAAUAAAUUAUGUUCCUAAAAAAAGCUUUUUAAAUGUAAUUAUUUUUUACUCCCCCAAAAAAAAACAAUCAAAUAACUCUGAAAUAAAAAUAUACUAUUUAGUAAAUGGAAUUGAAAAAAAUUAUAUAUCUGUUUUGGUUUCCCAUGAAAUGAACAACGUUAUGUUAAAUGCAGGAGAUACUAACAUAAACUUACCAUGUGUAGGUACCGAAACUGAAAGUUACAAAAAAGUGAAUAUUGAAAAUUUAACAGAAAGAAAUGUUUUAUGUGUACUAAUAAAAGAAGAUGUAGAGAAACUUGUUAAUAUUGAUAUAGAUGGGAAUAACGAUCCUGUUGAUAAUAAAAAAGAAACCAAUUUAAACGAAUUGAAUAACACAACUGUUGAUAAUGAAAAUAUAAAACAUAGUAGUUCAUUUAUUGAUGAUGAUGAAAAACUAUAUAAUUUUUAUUUUUUUUGUCUUUCACCUUUUGAAAAAAAAAAUAUACAUAUUUCUGCUAUUUGUAAUUUUAGUAUAACCAAAUCGAUUCCUUUACUCUUCAAUUAUUUAUUAUAUAUAAACGAUGCAGACAUGGAAAAUAAAUUCAUAUAUUUAAAAAAAACAUGAAUGAUCAUAUAAAAAGUUCAAACAAGUUUUCUAUUAAUAUUAAUAUAGUAAAAAGUUCAUUAAUGGUUUAUCCGAAAUUAAUUGAAAGUGAAUUGAUUCUACCUGGAAAACAGUUUAAUGCGAAGAUAACAGUAAAAAAUAAACACCCAGUGAUUAUAAAUUUUAAGACUAAAACUAAAAUUGUUCAAAUAGAUGGCAUCGAUGUUUUUGAUGAAAAAGAAGUUAUAGAAGCAGAAGAAAAUAUAAUAUCAAACAAUAAUGAAUAUGUAAUAAAUCCCUUUUCUGAAAAAAAUAUAAUCGUGAGUUUUAACACUAGCCGAAAGGGGGUAUUUUUGUAUCGUUUUUUUGUCAUGAUAGCAGGUAAGAUAAAAAAAAAAAAAAAACUGCCAUUUGUUUUAAUGUAUAAACAUAUAUAUAUGUAUGUAUAUAUACAUGCAUAUACACAUAUAACAUACUUUUGUAAUAAACCCUAA